AUUGAACGCUGGCGGCAGGCUUAACACAUGCAAGUCGGACGGUAACAGGAGGAAAGCUUGCUUUUCUUUGCUGACGAGUGGCGGACGGGUGAGUAAUGCUUGGGAAUCUGUUUUAUGGAGGGGGAUAACUACGGGAAACUGUAGCUAAUACCGCGUAAUAUCGAGAGAUUAAAGUGUGGGACCGUAAGGCCACACGCCAUAGAGUGAGCCCAAGUGGGAUUAGGUAGUUGGUGGGGUAAAGGCCUACCAAGCCGUCGAUCUCUAGCUGGUCUGAGAGGAUGACCAGCCACACUGGGACUGAGACACGGCCCAGACUCCUACGGGAGGCAGCAGUGGGGAAUAUUGCACAAUGGGCGCAAGCCUGAUGCAGCCAUGCCGCGUGAAUGAAGAAGGCCUUCGGGUUGUAAAGUUCUUUCGGUGGUGAGGAAGGUUGUAAUGUUAAUAGCAUUAUAAUUUGACGUUAGCCACAGAAGAAGCACCGGCUAACUCCGUGCCAGCAGCCGCGGUAAUACAGAGGGUGCGAGCGUUAAUCGGAAUAACUGGGCGUAAAGGGCACGCAGGCGGAUACUUAAGUGAGGUGUGAAAGCCCUGGGCUUAACCUAGGAAUUGCAUUUCAUACUGGGUGUCUAGAGUAUUUUAGGGAGGGGUAGAAUUCCACGUGUAGCGGUGAAAUGCGUAGAGAUGUGGAGGAAUACCGAAGGCGUAGGCAGCCCCUUGGGGGAAUACUGACGCUCAUGUGCGAAAGCGUGGGGAGCAAACAGG
rnacentral:rRNA from 1 species